rnacentral:rRNA from 1 species
GACGAACCGUGCAAACGUUGUUCGGAAUCACUGGGCUUAAAGGGCGCGUAGGCGGGCUGGCCAGUCAGGGGUGAAAGCCCACGGCUCAACCGUGGAAGUGCCUUUGAUACUGCCAGUCUGGAGGGAGGUAGGGGCGUGCGGAACUUCCGGUGGAGCGGUGAAAUGCGUAGAUAUCGGAAGGAACACCGGUGGCGAAAGCGGCGCGCUGGACCUCUACUGACGCUGAGGCGCGAAAGCCAGGGGAGCAAACGGG